UGGGGGUGGGGGGGGGUGCCGGCUGCCUGCUAUACUGCAGUCGAGCGAACAGACGAGGAGCUUGCUCCUCUGACGUUAGCGGCGGACGGGUGAGUAACACGUGGAUAACCUACCUAUAAGACUGGGAUAACUUCGGGAAACCGGAGCUAAUACCGGAUAACAUGUUGAACCGCAUGGUUCAACAGUGAAAGACGGUCUUGCUGUCACUUAUAGAUGGAUCCGCGCCGCAUUAGCUAGUUGGUAAGGUAACGGCUUACCAAGGCAACGAUGCGUAGCCGACCUGAGAGGGUGAUCGGCCACACUGGAACUGAGACACGGUCCAGACUCCUACGGGAGGCAGCAGUAGGGAAUCUUCCGCAAUGGGCGAAAGCCUGACGGAGCAACGCCGCGUGAGUGAAGAAGGUCUUCGGAUCGUAAAACUCUGUUAUUAGGGAAGAACAAAUGUGUAAGUAACUAUGCACGUCUUGACGGUACCUAAUCAGAAAGCCACGGCUAACUACGUGCCAGCAGCCGCGGUAAUACGUAGGUGGCAAGCGUUAUCCGGAAUUAUUGGGCGUAAAGCGCGCGUAGGCGGUUUUUUUAAGUCUGAAUGUGAAAGCCCCACGGCUCACCCGUGGAGGGUCAUUGGAAAACUGGAAAACUUGAGUGCAGAAGAGGAAAGUGGAAUUCCAUGUGUAGCGGUGAAAUGCGCAGAGAUAUGGAGGAAACACCAGUGGCGAAGGCGACUUUCUGGUCUGUAACUGACGCUGAUGUGCGAAAGCGUGGGAUCAAAACAGGGAUUAGAUACCCUGUAGUCCACGCCGUAAACGAUGAGUGCUAAGUGUUAGGGUCUCCCGCCCCCUUAGUGCUGCAGCUAACGCAUUAAGGCACUUCCGCCUGGGGAAGUACGACCGCAAGUUUGAAACUCAAGGAAUUGACCGGGACCCGCACAAGCGGUGAGCAUUGUUGUUUUAAUUCGAAGCACCGCGAGAACCUUACCCAAUUCUGACAUCGUCUGAAUCCCCUCUAGGAGAUAAGAGUUUCCCAUCGGAGACAGAAGACAAGUUGUUGCAUGGAUGUCGUCAAGCUCGUUCAGGGAGAUGUGUUAGUCCGCAAACGAGGCUUACCAUAACGCUGAGGUGUCCACUCAUUGUGA
rnacentral:rRNA from 1 species